rnacentral:rRNA from 1 species
CCUACGGGAGGCAGCAGUGGGGAAUAUUGCACAAUGGGCGAAAGCCUGAUGCAGCGACGCCGCGUGAGGGAUGACGGCCUUCGGGUUGUAAACCUCUUUCAGCAGGGAAGAAGCGAAAGUGACGGUACCUGCAGAAGAAGCGCCGGCUAACUACGUGCCAGCAGCCGCGGUAAUACGUAGGGCGCAAGCGUUGUCCGGAAUUAUUGGGCGUAAAGAGCUCGUAGGCGGCUUGUCACGUCGGGUGUGAAAGCCCGGGGCUUAACCCCGGGUCUGCAUUCGAUACGGGCUAGCUAGAGUGUGGUAGGGGAGAUCGGAAUUCCUGGUGUAGCGGUGAAAUGCGCAGAUAUCAGGAGGAACACCGGUGGCGAAGGCGGAUCUCUGGGCCAUUACUGACGCUGAGGAGCGAAAGCGUGGGGAGCGAACAGGAUUAGAUACCCUGGUAGUCCACGCCGUAAACGGUGGGAACUAGGUGUUGGCGACAUUUCCCACGUCGUCGGUGCGCAGCUACGACAUUAACGUUACCCGUCCGUCGGGUAGGUACGGCCGGCGACGACGUAAACUAACAAACUAGAAGUUAGACGGCGUGAGACGNGCCGAACGGACGACCGACGAGGGAGGUAGG